CAGUAGCCACGGUAAUACGGAGGGUGCAAGCGUUACUCGGAAUCACUGGGCGUAAAGGACGCGUAGGCGGAUUAUCAAGUCUCUUGUGAAAUCUAACGGCUUAACCGUUAAACUGCUUGGGAAACUGAUAAUCUAGAGUAAGGGAGAGGCAGAUGGAAUUCUUGGUGUAGGGGUAAAAUGCGUAGAUAUCAAGAAGAAUACCUAUUGCGAAGGCGAUCUGCUGGAACUUAACUGACGCUAAUGCGGGAAAGCGUGGGGAGCAAACAGGAUUAGAGACCCGUGUAGUCCCUGUCUCUUAUAC
rnacentral:rRNA from 1 species